rnacentral:lncRNA from 1 species
GACGUUGGUGCUCCCGGCGCGCCAGUGGAGGGCGGGAGCCCGACGGAGGAGUGUGGGCUGCGGGGCAGAUGUCAUGUGGCCUGUGCUUUGGACCGUGGUGCGUACCUAUGCUCCCUAUGUCACAUUCCCUGUGGCCUUUGUGGUCGGGGCUGUGGGCUACCACCUGGAAUGGUUCAUCAGAGGGAAGGAUCCCCAGCCUGUGGAGGAGGAGAAGAGCAUCUCAGAGCGCCGGGAGGACCGCAAGCUGGAUGAGCUGCUAGGCAAGGACCACACCCAGGUGGUGAGCCUUAAGGACAAGCUGGAAUUUGCCCCUAAAGCUGUCCUGAACAGAAACCGACCGGAGAAGAAUUAACGAAGGACACAGGGCCCUAUGGGUCCUUCAGUGGGCCUUGUCUGGCCCUGCCACCAUGUCGACCCAGCUCUAGAACCCACAUCUGAUUUGCUUUAUUGCUUCUGGCCCCUCUCGCCCCACACAGCCACACACUCUGGCUGCUCUGCUGCGGCCAGGCAGACGCGCUGGUAGCUGAGGGGCCAGUGAAGAGGAAGGCUCACGAGGGUUCUGACCUGAAAGUUGCAUCUGCUGGUUGGUGGCCACCGCUGCUCAGGCUUCUGCGCUGCUGGGUGCACCACUGGGAGGAGUUAUGAGAUGAACACUGGCUCUCAGUCCCUUCGGGGAAGCAGUUCGGCCCCAAGGGGGAGUGGCUGGGAUUGGGGGUUGUCUUUAGGAGGGAUACCUACAUGUCUAGUUCCAGUUCGCACUGGGAGGAGGUCACAGAUCUGCCUGGCUUGCCCUGUCCUUUGUGCUCAUUCUCCCUCCAGUCCUGGCCUAGCACUCAGGCAGGGAUUCCCCUGGGAAGGAAAGCCCUUUUGUUCUUGGGAGCCCAGGCUGUUCACCUUGGGGCAUGUGACUUCGCUUGAAAACAGUCACUACCUUUCACCCCCCCAUCACUGUUCAGAGCAAAACUUGAUUAAAGUGGUGUCUGAGAACCAUAUUGAUCUAAUCCUAUCUUCCAGGUGGUGUUGGGGUCUCCUUAGAGUUAUGCAAGUGCAGGUGACUCCAGGUAGGAAAACGCUGGCCUUUAACUGAGUAAGGACUUCGGGGCCAUAGAAACUUUGUUUUACUAACAUGGUUGUACUGGGUCCCAGAGGCACCCGUUCCCAAGAGCCUUUUUAUCAUGAUAACAAGAGGCUUAUAGGACCUUUCAAAGUCUAAAUUAGAGGAGCCCAGGAAGCUGAACAAUUGUUGUCAGUUUACCAAUUUCAUGCACGUACGUAUACACACAUAUAGUUUUCCCGGUGAAAGUAGUAUUUGUACAUUAAAGAACAUUUGGUAGGGAUUUAAAAAAAAUGGUUACCCAAGAGAUCCCUCCAUUGCAUAGUGCGUUAAUAAUCCGGCUCAUCUCAUGGUGUUGCUAGGUCAAUGCCUGAUGCAGUGGUUUAAGGAUCUGGUGUUGCAGCUGUAGCCUAGGUUGUAGAUGUGGCUCGGAUUUGAUCCUGUGGCCCAGGAACUUUAUAUGCUGUGGGUGCAGCCAAAAAUGGGGAAAACAAAAACAAAAAACCCAAACAGAUAGUUAUCCACACUCUGAGGGCCCAUUUACAGCUAAAAAGCUCACAUUUUGGUAUCUUUCACUAAUUCUUGACCUAGUUUUUUGCUUUCUUUCUGAUGGUUAUCAUUACUGUACAUUUAAUUUUAUAUUCUUUUUUCACAUGGUGUUUCACAUCGUAAUCAUUUUCUCAUUUUAUCACAUGGUCUUCAUAGUCCUCAUUGUUUCAACAGCUGUAUAAUUGCCCAUUGAGUGGGAACAUAGCAUAGGUUUUUUGUUUUUUUGUUUUUGGCUGUGCUCACAACAUGUGGAAGUUCCCGGGCUAGGGACUGAAUCCACGCCACAGCAGUGACAAUGCCAGAUCCUUAACCCACUGAGCCACCAGGGGACUCGGCAUGGCUUGUUUUUUAAGUUUCCCUGUUGUUAGACAUUUGGAUUGUUUCUGGUUCACUAGAAGAAAUACCACAAAGAGUAUCUUAUAUAAGGAUUCUCCUGCAGUUUGGACUAAAUGGUAGGAACAGUAAAUGGCAUUUUGGAUGAAAUGAGAUGAACAGUUUUAAGGGUCUCGGUGCCUAACACUAAAUGUCUUUCCAAGGGGCUAUAAGAGCUUAUACUAAAUGCUGCCACUUAAGAGUUGUUGGGGAGUUUGGAAGGGGUGAGAGCAGAGAGUGGACCUAUUGCCUGAUGAAGGCAGCUGACCUUUAACCUGAAUGAGCAAAGGCAGGCAAUGAACAUUUGAUGAAGAACAAACUGCUUUAAAAUGGGGGAGGGUGUGUACCCUGCUUCUGACCUCAGGAUCUGGGGUGGGUGAAGAUGGGAUUCCUGAACAGGUAGAGAUGCUGGCUGUGCAGUGGGAGGAGCUAGGGGACAGGGAAGGAGGUAGCCAGAGAUGCAGGGUCAAGUUGAGUUGGUAGCUUCCCCUCAGUUGCGGAGGCCUAGUGGGAAUGUAGAGAUGAGUUGCUGUUGCCUCUCAGGGAAUAAAUCUGAUGGGGAGUGUGGAGCAGCAGUGUCUGCUACCGAAGUAGUGAUGAGGUUUCUGAUUUUGAAAGGAUAUAUUGAGCUCAGCUUGGUCACUUGGUUUUUGAGCUCAGGCUGACGCAGGCCUUAUCGGCAGCCCAGUGCUGCCCCCCUGUGGCAGUCCUGAGUAUGGUCAAGCCUGGGAUCCCUUCGCAGGGCCAAACUGCUAGUAGCAAACUCCCAUGCCUGGAGGGGUUCAGUAAGGUGGCUUAAAAGAGCAGGCCAGGCCAGGAGCUAGGAAGCACAGGCCUGCCUAAAGGGGGCAGUGGCUAUGCAGCUUCUUCCAGUUUGUGCUCCUUGCCUAGAAACACCAGUUUUUCUUUUUUUCCCUCUUGAAGAUACUAGACAUUCAGAUUUUUGUGGAUUUUAUUUAUUUAUUUUGGUGUGGAAACUUCCGAUUUUUAAAAGUUGACAGUUUAUUUAAAAAAAAAAUUGGAGUUCCCUUGUGGUGCAGUGGUGCUGCGGCUUGCAUUGCUGCUGUGGCUCAGGUUCGAUCCUUGGCCUGGGAACUACUUCAUGCUGCUGAUGCAGCGAAAAACAAUAACAAUAGUAAUAAUAAAAAUUCUAAGCAUGCUAACAUACCUAUAGAGGUAAUUUAACCCAGUGGCUGCCAAUUUGCCACCUGUCAAGCUGCCCCUGGCCUUCUAAUGAAAUCUGAGAGAUCUGCAUAGUUUUUAAGCAAUCAAACAACUGUGGCAAAGAUUAGAUCCCAGGACUGGUUUCUUUUGAAACACCUGAGCAUCCUGUGCAUAUGUAGUCUAAUAUCAGCCUAAGCAAAACAUUAGAGGGCAGAAAACCUACAGAAAUAACCCAAAAAAGUUUUCCCACAGACUAAGACAUUUUUGGAUUUUCAGCUAUUUUAGAAUAAGCCUGUCACUGCUGCUGUACUCCUCCCAGUGCCUGGCAGAGGAUGCCCUAUCUUUGGAAAUCCAAGUUGCCCCAUUUUUCCAGUCUCACUUUGUGUCCCCUUUAAAUAAUUUUAUUUCCUAGGGCUUGCCCUCACUGAAUGUCUGCCUCCGGCAAGUCUAUUAAUAUUCUCAGUGGCUUUUCUUUCCCAAGGGCUGGCUGAGCCCUGCUUCUGCUGUGGGGCUGUGAGAUAGUGCACGCUUUCUUGUCUCUGCUCCGGAGACCUCAGGUAGCAGGGCUUCUGAAGCUGUGGCAAAGGCAGGCCAGGCUUGCUGAAACAAACCCGGGCACGGACCAGUUUGCUUCCAUAGCUGCUGAUUCACCUUGGAGGCAUGUGACCCUCUUUGGGAUCAGCCCAACAGUCACAUUAACACUGAGAUGUGCUUGGGGCUUUUUGCUUGGCACCCACCCCCACCCCAUCUCUUCUCGGCCUGAUGCUGGCGGUCAGAGCCUGUUAUCCUAUCUGAGCACGGCAGGAAUCACUUCUCUGCCCUCAGCCGCCCCGUGUCUGGUGCUUUUCCACUCUCUCCUGAGCCUUUCCUGUGCCUGUUGCUGUGUUAGCACAAGUCAGCUGGGCAGCUGCCAGGACAAGCCUUCUAGGGGGCCCUUUGACUGCUGUCAGCUUCCCAGGGCCCUGGGCUGGUGAGGCCGCCAGCAGAGCAAAAAACUCCAUGGGAUUAGCCUCCCCAGAGUCACUUGAGGGCCAGGCAGUGGAAACGAAAAGGCUUAUGCCUUUUGCCUUACUUUUCUUUUUCCCCUCAGGUCUCUAGGCACUUGUCGAGUGGGGAGCCGGGGCUGUGUGGUAGAGUAAAAAUAAAGUGGGUGCUAGAGGCUGGCAGACUUGUGAGUACUGCUUCCACAGGUAGCUGAGUGACUUUGGGCAGGUCACAUAGCCUUUCCGAGCCUCAGUUAUCCUCAUUCGUAAAACUGGGAUAAGAAUACCUUCUUUUUUUGUUUGUUUGUUUUUUUUUUUUGGUCUUUUUAGGGCCACACCUGCAGUAUGUGGAGGUUCCCAGGCUAGGGGUCGAAUCGAAGCUGCAGCUGCUGGCCUGGACCACAGCCACAGCAAUGCUAGAUCCCAGCAAUGCCUGCGACCUGUGCUGCAGCUCAAGGCAGUGCUGGAUCCUUAAUCUACUGAGUGAGGUUAGGGCUCGAACCCACAUCCUCAUGGAUGCUAGUCGGAUUCUUAACCUGCUGAGCCACAGUGGGAACUCAAGAAUACCUGUUUUUUGCUGGGUUGUUGCAAAGCUAAGGUAACAUGUAAAGUUCUCAGCAGAGUCCAUGGCAGCAAGUAGGUGCCCAAUAAGUGUGUUGGCUGCUUUAGUUUUAUUGUAGGAAAAAGUUGCAUGUAACCCUGUGAUCCUGGGGAGGUAGGGAUCUGGAGGAGGGAGCCUUGGCUGGGAGAGUGCUCAUAGGUGCCGUCACAGGCCUAGUGAUUGAGGGCUUCUUAGGAGUAUUUUACAGGAAGGACCAGCUGGCGGCGGCGGGAGUGCAGGCUUAGACCUGUGUUACUAGGUUGUCCCCUUGCCAGUGCUAUCCCAAAGUUGGAGAUGAGAAGUGGGGAGCAGGGCGUGGGGAAUGGCCCUAGAGUGCCCCACUUCAGAAUGGGUGGAGGAGAGAGCUUUGGAGUUGGAGACCAGUGAACACGGUGGCCUGGAACAGGCCCCUUCACCUCUCUGGCUUUGGUGUCCCCACUUGCAAAAUGGGGAUACGGAUGUGCUCUGAGGUGUAGUGUAAAAAGAAUGAGAGGCCAGCUUAGCCAGUGCUCCAAAAACAUGCAGGUGCUGUUCUGUCCUGUAAAAUCUUGCUUUUACCGAAUCAGAAUGGCAGCCAGUCUGAAUAACGGCAUAGACAUAAAUGCUCCUUUAUUCUUUUUCUGAACAGUCUCUCAAACUAUUUGCUAAGGUAAAAAUGUUUGGGGAAUCAGCUUUACAAGUAAAGAGGAUAAUCACAGUGUAUCAUUUUGCAUCCUGUUCCAGCAGUACCUUGAGGUGCUUAAAAAUAGUUUAUUCUUUUUGAGCUAAGUUUGUUAACAUUAGUUAUCUGUUUACCACAUCUUUUUAUAUCAUGCAGAGAUAAACCAUGGCUUGUUUUUUGUUUAAAAAUUCCAAAUGGGUCCUC